ensembl:lncRNA
AUGAUCCGUCUGUUCGUAGGUAGGAUGACCCACCCCGUCCCCCCCACCCCGUCCCCCGCUGUGUCUUCUCAGGAUGCACUUACCCAGAUUCUAAUAAUAGUCGGGCGGUUUGCUGGAGCACAAAUGGCGGGACUCAAUGUUUUAUUUAUUAUUUCUUGCAAAUUGGUUUCCCCGCGUGGCGUUUGGAGCGGUAAUCUCCGGGAGGCUGGAGGUCGACGCCCACCUCAUGUUUUCAUUUAUUUCCUGGGAGAGCGGCGAAGGCAGCGACACAUUCUCAUCAUCCUGGAAACAGGGAUGAACCAAUCUCCCAUUUCCACACCUCAUGUUCCUGUCAAUCAAAACGCUACAACGUGAUUAGGAAGAACAACUGGAGGAGUCCAGGUGAUGUGGAUCCGCUUCUGAUGACAUUAGACUGGAGACUGGAAGAUGAUCUCCCAGCCACUGGUCAUACUGGAGGAGGAAGAGGAGGAGGAGGAGGAGGAGGAGGAGGAGGAGGAGGAGGAGGAGGAGGAGGGGGAGGAGGAGGAGGAGAAAGAGGAGGAGGAGGAUAAGAAGGAAGAGGAGGAGGAGGAGGAAGAGGAGGAGGAGCGGUAAGAGAUGUUUUUUUACAGUAGAACCUCUGAAGGUGCUAGCUCUACACUAGUAUUCUAUUCUUGAAAUAGACAAUUUUCCAGUAAUAAUUCAAUGAUUGAAAAAAUUCAAUAGAUAAUUGAAAAUAAAUAUAAUAAAUAUUGUUUCGAAAUAUAGUAUUAUUGUGGGUUCUUAUUUCAGAAAUAGCGGUGCUUUGUGCAAACCAUGAUGAUUCUGUUUCAAUGUUUUCGAUUGAUAUUUAACUGUUAAUUUUUUUGUUUACCCUUUUGUCUACCCUUUGUAUAUGGGGUAGUCCACAGUAGGCAAUACAGUGGUACACCUCAAGGUUGAUCAAAGCCUGCGAACCACUGCCUGGCACUACCAGAUCAAACAGUAAAAGCACAAACAUCCUCCCCCAGUAUGGUGGGGGGGAGGGGCCUUUAUUGUCUUAACUCAAACCCAGAAGGCCGUUCCACGAGUGCUGAGUACACUGUGGAGACGAGCAGUGCAACCCCAGCUGUAAGCAGAAGCUCCCUGCAGACGGCCACGCCCAGCCCGCUCCUCUCUGUACCUCACUGCUACACAGCACAGCUCUGCUCCCCGGGUCAAUUGCAUCACUGUCCAUGGCGGAAUGGCUCCGAUAUCAUUGUCUUGCUUAUUUCUGGUGUAAUAUUAGGUAUAAUUGCGUUAUUGUAUUUGAUGUGGUUAUAGGCUAUAGGAGAGAGUAUGCAUUUGCUUGCCUCGUGGCUGUCUGGUUUAUGAAUUUCUAUUUUAUGAUUUUUUUUACAGCCUUUGUACACAUGGGCUUUUUGAAAGUGAUUUUGAUCGAGACUGGUCAAUACUUUGUGUUUGUACAAAUUUCGGAUUCAUCAGGCCUGCUUAAUAGUUUAUUGAUUUCUUUCUAUUUUUCUUCUGGCCGUAAAGAUUUUUUUGUUUUCCCUCACAGAGCGGAGAGAAAUUAAGCUACAAAUGUCUCUUGUGGAAAAAUGUUGAUACAUUAUGUCAACAGUAGCCUAGAAUUAAUGUAUAUUAUAAAUUCGGCCUAAAGCAUACAGAAUAUUGUAUUUAUUAUAAUAUUUAUUGUUACAAAUAUGUUAGCUCACAUGGGCCACAACACUUGACUAUAAGUGUUACCACUGCAACCUCAUAAUGAACUAAAUAAAAAUGACCCAUUCUUUGUAAGAAUCAUUUGUCAUAAUUAUACCUGUCAGCAUUAUGGUUAAACUACGGUAAUGUUUAACUCUAAUCUAAUCUGGCAUGCAUGUUCAAAUUAGUCACAAUAAAUUAUGUUUUAAUAAAUUACAUCAUAAACACAAGGAAUUAUUCUGGAUGACUGACAGUGUGCAGUGCUUCCUGUAUUAUUUUAUUACCACGGAGAAAGGAGCGCCCGCAGGCAGGAUUUAGCAUAAUGGACGCGGUCCGGCUCCAGCAGAGCUGCGAUCUACAGUCAUUUCCAGGCCCAAUGCCGCCGGCCACGGCUGUGUUUUGAG